GCUUUCGUCGGAGUGGUGUGCUUUUUCAAGGGUAGUUUUAUGAGCCUAUAACUUUGGUAGAGGUUGUUGUGUUAGUAUUUCCAUGGGUAGUUUUAUGAGCCUAGUGAUAGUUUGACAAGGCUUUGGUAGAGGUUGUUGUGUUAGUAUUUCCAUGGGUAGUUUUAUGAGCCUAGUGAUAGUUUGACAAGGCUUUGGUAGAGGUUGUUGUGUUAGUAUUUCCAUGGGUAGUUUUAUGAGCCUAGUGAUAGUUUGACAAGGCUUUGGUAGAGGUUGUUGUGUUAGUAUUUCCAUGGGUAGUUUUAUGAGCCUAGUGAUAGUUUGACAAGGCUUUGGUAGAGGUUGUUGUGUUAGUAUUUCCAUGGGUAGUUUUAUGAGCCUAGUGAUAGUUUGACAAGGCUUCUGUAUUAUGAACAUGACAAACCCUCAUUAGAACCCGACUAAUCUUUGUGGACUUGUGAAAUAUGCUAAGAGAGCCGAAAAAGCGGAAAGCCGAACGCGAGAACAUGUCAGCUAGUUUUAAAAAAUAACAUGAUGCGGUCAAUAAACUAUCUAUCUAUCUAUCUAUCACUCAUAUUUCACCUAACCCAAAACCAACGGCAAUUUCUAUAUGGUCUUCCGCCUUCAUUGAAUUCCACAUACAUAAUUUCGUAUUGCAGUUUCUCCCAGCACACUUGCAUCAUACGAUUGCUAACAGGGAAAUCAUCACUGUAUUGCGUGUAGACAUUACCGUAACAGUGGUUUAUGGGAAGCGCGUAGAGAGAGAAAACGGGUUGUGACUGAUAUUAAUGGAACGGGUCUGAAGGGAAUGGCCGAGGAAGGGAGAGCUUGUGAUAUGGGCGAAGGGAAUGGCCGAGGAAGGAAGAGCUUGUGAUAUGGGGGAAGGGAAUGGGCGAGGAAGGGAGAGCUUGUGAUAUGGGCGAAGGGAAUGGCCGAGGAAGGGAGAGCUUGUGAUAUGGGCGAAGGGAAUGGCCGAGGAAGGGAGAGCUUGUGAUAU